GGCGCCUUGCUUAGUUGGUUAAAGCACCUGUUUUGUAAACAGGAGGUCCUAGAUCCGAAUCCUAGUGGUUCCU
rnacentral:tRNA from 1 species